rnacentral:rRNA from 1 species
AAAUUGAAGAGUUUGAUCAUGGCUCAGAUUGAACGCUGGCGGCAGGCCUAACACAUGCAAGUCGAGCGGUAGCACAGAGAGCUUGCUCUCGGGUGACGAGCGGCGGACGGGUGAGUAAUGUCUGGGAAACUGCCUGAUGGAGGGGGAUAACUACUGGAAACGGUAGCUAAUACCGCAUAAUGUCGCAAGACCAAAGUGGGGGACCUUCGGGCCUCAUGCCAUCAGAUGUGCCCAGAUGGGAUUAGCUAGUAGGUGGGGUAAUGGCUCACCUAGGCGACGAUCCCUAGCUGGUCUGAGAGGAUGACCAGCCACACUGGAACUGAGACACGGUCCAGACUCCUACGGGAGGCAGCAGUGGGGAAUAUUGCACAAUGGGCGCAAGCCUGAUGCAGCCAUGCCGCGUGUGUGAAGAAGGCCUUCGGGUUGUAAAGCACUUUCAGCGGGGAGGAAGGCGAUAAGGUUAAUAACCUUGGCGAUUGACGUUACCCGCAGAAGAAGCACCGGCUAACUCCGUGCCAGCAGCCGCGGUAAUACGGAGGGUGCAAGCGUUAAUCGGAAUUACUGGGCGUAAAGCGCACGCAGGCGGUCUGUCAAGUCGGAUGUGAAAUCCCCGGGCUCAACCUGGGAACUGCAUUCGAAACUGGCAGGCUAGAGUCUUGUAGAGGGGGGUAGAAUUCCAGGUGUAGCGGUGAAAUGCGUAGAGAUCUGGAGGAAUACCGGUGGCGAAGGCGGCCCCCUGGACAAAGACUGACGCUCAGGUGCGAAAGCGUGGGGAGCAAACAGGAUUAGAUACCCUGGUAGUCCACGCCGUAAACGAUGUCGAUUUGGAGGUUGUGCCCUUGAGGCGUGGCUUCCGGAGCUAACGCGUUAAAUCGACCGCCUGGGGAGUACGGCCGCAAGGUUAAAACUCAAAUGAAUUGACGGGGGCCCGCACAAGCGGUGGAGCAUGUGGUUUAAUUCGAUGCAACGCGAAGAACCUUACCUGGUCUUGACAUCCACAGAACUUUCCAGAGAUGGAUUGGUGCCUUCGGGAACUGUGAGACAGGUGCUGCAUGGCUGUCGUCAGCUCGUGUUGUGAAAUGUUGGGUUAAGUCCCGCAACGAGCGCAACCCUUAUCCUUUGUUGCCAGCGGUUAGGCCGGGAACUCAAAGGAGACUGCCAGUGAUAAACUGGAGGAAGGUGGGGAUGACGUCAAGUCAUCAUGGCCCUUACGACCAGGGCUACACACGUGCUACAAUGGCAUAUACAAAGAGAAGCGACCUCGCGAGAGCAAGCGGACCUCAUAAAGUAUGUCGUAGUCCGGAUUGGAGUCUGCAACUCGACUCCAUGAAGUCGGAAUCGCUAGUAAUCGUAGAUCAGAAUGCUACGGUGAAUACGUUCCCGGGCCUUGUACACACCGCCCGUCACACCAUGGGAGUGGGUUGCAAAAGAAGUAGGUAGCUUAACCUUCGGGAGGGCGCUUACCACUUUGUGAUUCAUGACUGGGGUGAAGUCGUAACAAGGUAACCGUAGGGGAACCUGCGGUUGGAUCACCUCCUUA